rnacentral:rRNA from 1 species
CUUGGUCAUUUAGAGGAAGUAACAGUCGUAACAAGGUUUCCGUAGGUGAACCUGCGGAAGGAUCAUUAACAAUCAUGUGUUGCUAGGCGAGAGCUUGGUGACAAUAUUAGCUCGCGGGCAACCGCUUGCGCAUAUUUACGCUCGUAUAGUUUGACUGAGAAAACAUCUGUGACAAAAAGUACAACUUUUAACAAUGGAUCUCUUGGCUCUUGCAACGAUGAAGAACGCAGUAAAGUGCGAUAUCUAGUGCGAUUUGCAUGGAUCUGUGAGUCAUCGAGUCUUUGAACGCAACUUGCAUCUCUGGGAUUUCCCUGGUGGUAUGUCCGUUCAAGAACCAUAAAACCAUUCUUGCUCAUAUGCGUAUGUGGCAGACAUGGCUGGCGCGCUGGCUGGCUGAAAGGAUGCUCUAUGUUUUGGCUGUGUGCUAGGACCGCAAGGUCGGGUCGCAGUCACUUGACAAUGGUCUCAAAUCAGGCAAGGGUACCCGCUGAACUUAAGCAUAUCAAUAAGCGGAGGA